rnacentral:rRNA from 1 species
UUAACACAUGCAAGUCGAACGAUGAUCCCAGCUUGCUGGGGGAUUAGUGGCGAACGGGUGAGUAACACGUGAGUAACCUGCCCUUGACUCUGGGAUAAGCCUGGGAAACUGGGUCUAAUACCGGAUAUGACUCCUCAUCGCAUGGUGGGGGGUGGAAAGCUUUUUUGUGGUUUUGGAUGGACUCGCGGCCUAUCAGCUUGUUGGUGAGGUAAUGGCUUACCAAGGCGACGACGGGUAGCCGGCCUGAGAGGGUGACCGGCCACACUGGGACUGAGACACGGCCCAGACUCCUACGGGAGGCAGCAGUGGGGAAUAUUGCACAAUGGGCGCAAGCCUGAUGCAGCGACGCCGCGUGAGGGAUGACGGCCUUCGGGUUGUAAACCUCUUUCAGUAGGGAAGAAGCCGUAAGGUGACGGUACCUGCAGAAGAAGCGCCGGCUAACUACGUGCCAGCAGCCGCGGUAAUACGUAGGGCGCAAGCGUUAUCCGGAAUUAUUGGGCGUAAAGAGCUCGUAGGCGGUUUGUCGCGUCUGCCGUGAAAGUCCGGGGCUCAACUCCGGAUCUGCGGUGGGUACGGGCAGACUAGAGUGAUGUAGGGGAGACUGGAAUUCCUGGUGUAGCGGUGAAAUGCGCAGAUAUCAGGAGGAACACCGAUGGCGAAGGCAGGUCUCUGGGCAUUAACUGACGCUGAGGAGCGAAAGCAUGGGGAGCGAACAGGAUUAGAUACCCUGGUAGUCCAUGCCGUAAACGUUGGGCACUAGGUGUGGGGGACAUUCCACGUUUUCCGCGCCGUAGCUAACGCAUUAAGUGCCCCGCCUGGGGAGUACGGCCGCAAGGCU